rnacentral:lncRNA from 12 species
AUCAACUCAGUUAUUUAGUAAAUAUCUACUAUGUGCAGCAAGGUGCUAGAUAUGCAAGGAGAUAAGGGGCCAAAUCACCCUUGAGAAGGUCCCUGGGGUUGGCAGAGGGGGGCGGAUCACCAACCGUGUGGUAGUGGGGCAAGAAGUCCACUUGUUCACCUCACUUCCUGGCAGGAUGGGGGGAAUGGUCAUUUCUCGCUGGGGUGCGGGCAGGAAGGCCUCAGGGAGCUUACUGCUGGGGUGGGAAGUGAAGAAGGCAUUCUAGACAAUGAAGAAAAAAGACAUCAAUGAAACAUCCACUUGGAGGAGACUGCUGAAUUCAGAAGACUAUGGCUUGAGCAUUAUCUUCAGAUUGGGAAUUUAGGGGCUCAUUAUAAAGAGCACUGACUGUUGACAGCAAUAGCAGAGGGGACCUCCUUCUGGUCUGUUUUCUGUGGAUCCAGGGCUUAUGCACACAGUAGACAUCACACGUGUUUGUGAAUGAAUGAAUGAACCAGUGAAUGAAAAGGAACCAACAGAUGAUGGAUGAAUGGAUGGAUGGGCUCCAACCCAUGUGCAGAAUGGUCCCAGACUCCCUGCCACCCACAUGCUUAAUGAGUGGCCUUACUCAGCUCACUUAACUGUGUGUGGCUUCUGUAAAGGAGGCCUAGCAACAUCCACCUCACAGAACGGCCAUGAAGUUAGACAACAAGUGUUUGUCACAUACAUAAGGGCGAUUCUGGGCACGAGACAGCUGUGACAGAGUUUAUCCUUGCCCUUCUGGCCUGACCUCUCGCUUGCUUGGAUUCUGGUCCCCUGAGCCGAUCUGCUAAAGCUCCUCUUCGCUGCUGGGCGUGGGGAGAGAAUGGAGAUGAAGACGCACAGGCCCAAGCUGCUGGGUGCGCACUUUCCAGUAGGUGCCUUCCAGGCACCCGACGGUUGUCACCAAGUGCAGAGGUACUGAGGCACAGCUGUGCCAGGACCUUCACUUACACAGCCAAACACCCUUCUUCAAAAUAAAGAACAAACCACUCUGUUGCCGAGGCA